rnacentral:misc_RNA from 1 species
AACGCACGAGACCUGCGGACCUGCGGAAGGAUCAUUAUCGAGUGCGCCCCCAUAAAAAGGGGGUACCUCCCGUCCUUUGCUGGCCUUAUCGGGGCUUUUUAUUUUCUGCUUCGGCGGGGUUACCCGCCGGAACACCCUUAUAACUCUUUGACAAACCGUUCCGUCCGAGGACUUUGCGAAUAAAAAACUUUUAACAAUGGAUCUCU